rnacentral:miRNA from 10 species
CUGUACUGUCUUCGUUUGAUAU